AAUCACAGCCAUAUUAGGUUGAAAACAUUGGUUCUCGUCCGAUCACCGAAGUUAAGCAACGUCGAACCUACUUAGAACUUCGAUGGGUGACCGCUUGGGAAACCUACGUGAUGCAAGCA
rnacentral:rRNA from 1 species